AGAGUGAACGCUGGCGGUAGGCCUAACACAUGCAAGUCGAACGGCAGCACAGUAGGAGCUUGCUCUUACGGGUGGCGAGUGGCGGACGGGUGAGGAAUACAUCGGAAUCUACCUUUUGGUGGGGGAUAACGUAGGGAAACUUACGCUAAUACCGCAUACGCCCUUCGGGGGAAAGCCGGGGACCAGCAAUGGCCUGGUGCUGAUAGAUGAGCCGAUGUCGGAUUAGCUAGUUGGUGAGGUAAUGGCUCACCAAGGCGACGAUCCGUAGCUGGUCUGAGAGGAUGAUCAGCCACACUGGAACUGAGACACGGUCCAGACU
rnacentral:rRNA from 1 species